CAGAAAACACCACUUGAACCAGCGAGGUACUAUUCUGCUUCCGUUCUCCCAGUCCCCACCUCACCACAACACAGGGGGUGGAGCCUUCGUCUUCCCAUAUUAAACUUGAACAUCAGAGUAACUUUGGCAUCACUAUCCAACUUUUGACUUUUUGACGGCCACAAAAUCACUUCCCUGGCUCGACAUACUCAUAUCUUUAUUAUUCCCAUCAUUCUUCAUGAAUUGUGCCACGUAAGUACUUUGUUCAUUCUCUAUUGGAAUCUCUAGUAAGUAGUCUUGACGGGAGCCGAGUGGUUUUUCUGUUUCUGCUCUAACCAGGCACGAGAGUGAAGACUAGGAGUGUCUGCGAGUGCUCAUAUUGUGAUUCGUGGAUACUAUCAGUCAGUGGCUGAGCAUAAAGAAAAAAAUGGAAACUCAGGCUUUUGGGCAGGAACCUGGAAAAAAGGAAAACCAUGGCAAGUUACCUAAACAUAAGUGCAAUUGAACUUUCUUAAUUUAUUGAUAAGAUGUACAUUGUGAAUAUUUUGUAGUGUUAAAAAAAGUAGUCAUUCUAAUGGUAAGCAUUGAAAAUGAUUGAUACUAACAACAAAGCCUUUAAAUGGAACCAACGGGUAUUAAGACUUGUAUGGCUAAUAUAAUGUAAAUG